GCCGACCCUCCCCCUCGUCCACGGCCCGCCCCGUCGAGGUCCAGGUCCGCGGCGGAUCCGCCUACGCCGGCGUCUUCCACACCGCCUCCCUCGACGCCGGAUACGGUGAAUUUGUGUCUAUGCUCCGUGGCGUCGAUCUGUAAAUCUUCCGAUGCUAUUUUGUGCCAUAUGGGCAAACACUAAGUUCUGAGGAAGAGAUUUCAUAUGUGUACCAUAUGGACAAACACUCUACAUUCUAAAGGACGGAAAGAACGUGCAUCCCCUGGAUUGUCUUACUUAACCUGGCAACAAAGAGAGGAGGUUGCAAAGAAGCACGAAGGGGAAUACAUGUCUGCAUUUUUCCUGACUUAGGUAUCAAGGAAAUUAAAUUUUCUGGAGGAAGUGCUUUCUUCAAUAUCAGAUUGCUAUAAAGGAUGAGAUGCUCCACACAUUUUGAGAGUUUAGAGGUUAGUUUCUAGCAGAGUUAGUGAUGGAACUGAAAACUGUUUCAGUCGAGGUUGAGGAUAAAUCUUAUGCUGCCACAUGUUUAGAGUUUGUGAUAAGAACCAAAAUAUCAAGGUUUAAGAAGUGGAUGCUUCGAGUAUGAUAGAUCCCAUGUUUCUGUGUUAAUCUAUUUCAAAUAUCUUUAAUCAGAGUCAAAGCAUGACAUGUUAUGUCUUGGAUCA